AUGGCAGGAAACCUGAGGGGAAUGAAUUCUACGGCAUUUAGAGAGAUGUUUGGCAUAUUCAGACAUGGUUGUUUUAAUCCAAAGUUUAAGAAAGAUGGGGACCGGGAGGGAGACUAUACAAAGAAGACAGGAAGUCAGACUGUCACUGGUGUGGCACGGGUUCGACUCCUGGCCAGGGAAGCUUCACAUGCUGCAGGCGCGGCCACAAGGAAAAAAGGAAGAGAAAGGAGGACGUCAGAACCUCUACUGGACUGUACAGGCAAGGAGACUGGCCUGCCUUGGAGGGUCCGUCCCUGGACCGUCUGGACACAGGCCCGCGUUUGCGAGAUGAAGCCCUCGUGGUUCCCAGACCCGAGUCCGCACCCCGCUCUUCCUGUAACCCGUCCAUUAAAUGGAGUUCCGGCCCUUGGACUGUGGGUCCCAAGCUUUUCGCCAUUUUUCCACUGGGGGCGCCUCUGUCCAGUGCAGUCCUUACACUGGCUCAACAGCAGUUGCUCGACGUAUAAAUGGGCGUUAGGCCAGCGGUUUUUUGUUGGCAUGUCUGUAUGCAUGUCCCUCUGUAUGUAUAUGCGUAUGCAUUUUGGCCCCUCCGUCAGCGUGCAGAAGUUCCCCAGGCCAGAGAUGGAACCUGUGCCACAGUAGUGACGAUGCCAAAUCCUCAACCCACUAAGCCACCAGGAAACUCCCAGGCCAAAGCUUCAAAAGGAUGGGGUGCUGGGGUCAUGUGGGAGCACGUUCCAGAAAAGCCAUAUCGACACGUCAGGCGGGUCCUACAUCCUCAGACUGCAGGAGACUUGGGUCUGCGCAUGUCCUUUCAAGUCUUGGAGGGGCCUCUGCUGCAGCCUUUCCCAGACCUGCUUGACCCUGACCCCUUUGAUUUCAUGUGGAAUCUCACGGGUCUUGCAUUCCUUGCUGGAUUGGGGGAGAUCUGCUUUCAAGGCCCCUGCAAGUUAGAUAAUCCACACACACAAAAAGGCAAAGGCAAAUCCAUCAUGCCUCUGGAGGUAUCCCGUUCCAAAAUAUUAUUAACCAAGUGUUUUAAUUGCUUGUCUUGGUGCCAUGUCUUUGACACCUAGACUCACCUCCUAUUGGGGGAACUUCCCUGUUCCCGGCAGCCAGGAUUCAGGGGUCAAGGGGGAGUGGACAGGGCAGAGCAGUGACCCAUCCAAAGACAUUCAAGUUUAGGGAGUUCCCGUUGUGGCUCAGCGGUAAUGAACCUGACUAGUAUCCAUGAGGAUGCAGGUUCGAUCCCUGGCCUCUUUCAGUGGGUUAAGACUCUGGUGUUGCUUUGAGCUUCGGUGUGGGUCACAGACCUGGCUGGGAUCUGGUGUGGCUGCUGUGGCUGUGGCUGUGGGGUAGGCUGGCAGCUGCAGCUCUGAUUUGACCCUGAACCUGGGAACUUCCACAUGCAAAGGGUGCGACCCUAAAAGAAAAAAAAAAAAAAAGACAUUCUUUCAGGUUCAGCCCCUCAGGAGGGAAAGAACACGGAGGGCUUUGAGACCUUCUGAUGUGAGGAAGCACAGGAAGGAUUCCAGAGGCUUCUCUCCCCACCACCCCCUUCUCCACUCAUCCUUUUAUACUGCGUUUAUUUCCUCCAGCGAGUUGAGAAUGAAACCGUUUACCCCCUGCUUGCCUCAAAGGA
rnacentral:lncRNA from 1 species